rnacentral:rRNA from 2 species
ACGCCGCGUGAGUGAAGAAGGCUUUCGGGUCGUAAAACUCUGUUGUUGGAGAAGAAUGGUCGGCAGAGUAACUGUUGUCGGCGUGACGGUAUCCAACCAGAAAGCCACGGCUAACUACGUGCCAGCAGCCGCGGUAAUACGUAGGUGGCAAGCGUUAUCCGGAUUUAUUGGGCGUAAAGCGAGCGCAGGCGGUUUUUUAAGUCUGAUGUGAAAGCCCUCGGCUUAACCGAGGAAGUGCAUCGGAAACUGGGAAACUUGAGUGCAGAAGAGGACUGUGGAACUCCAUGUGUAGCGGUGAAAUGCGUAGAUAUAUGGAAGAACACCAGUGGCGAAGGCGGCUGUCUGGUCUGUAACUGACGCUGAGGCUCGAAAGCAUGGGUAGCGAACAGGAUUAGAUACCCUGGUAGUCCAUGCCGUAAACGAUGAAUGCUAGGUGUUGGAGGGUUUCCGCCCUUCAGUGCCGCAGCUAACGCAUUAAGCAUUCCGCCUGGGGAGUACGACCGCAAGGUUGAAACUCAAAGGAAUUGACGGGGGCCCGCACAAGCGGUGGAGCAUGUGGUUUAAUUCGAAGCAACGCGAAGAACCUUACCAGGUCUUGACAUCUUUUGAUCACCUGAGAGAUCAGGUUUCCCCUUCGGGGGCAAAAUGACAGGUGGUGCAUGGUUGUCGUCAGCUCGUGUCGUGAGAUGUUGGGUUAAGUCC